CCCGCUGAACUUAAGCAUAUCAAUAAGCGGAGGAAAAGAAACUAACAAGGAUUCCCCUAGUAACGGCGAGCGAAGAGGGAAAGGCUCAAAUUUUAAAUCCGGUCUUCACGAUCAGAAUUGUAGUUUAGAGAACAAGGCUGGCGCGUUUGCCCAAGUCCACUGGAAUGUGGCACCAUAGAGGGUGAUAGUCCCGUACGGAAAACAAGCCAACACAGCCAUGUUUCAAAGAGUCAGGUUGUUUGGGAUUGCAGCCUAAAAUGGGUGGUAAACUCCAUCUAAAGCUAAAUAUAUGCAGGAGACCGAUAGCGAACAAGUACCGUGAGGGAAAGAUGAAAAGAACCUUGGAAAGGGGGUUAAACAGUAUGUGAAAUUGUUGAAAGGGAAACACUUGAGGCCAGUGGCGACCGGCGCAAAAUCAGCCUAGCCCUUUUUUAGGAGGGGGGUGGGUGCACUUUUGCGCAUGGUUAGCCAGCAACGGUUUUUGUUGGGACAAAAGCUUGGCUUGAAGGUGGAUGUGGCUCUCUCCGGCCGCAUCCCUUACAGCAUGCCAAAGUUAUGCUGCCCUGGCGGAGACCGAGGACUGCAGCAUAAAAUUUGGGGGCGCGGCCAGUUGUUAAAGCCCCAACCGCAAGGCCAGCCUAGCUGACUUGGGGUUGGAUGCGCUUUCAACGCGGUGGCGUUCUCUCACCAGUGCUAUGGUUGCUGGCAAAAUGGCCUUAAAUGACCCGUCUUGAAACACGG
rnacentral:rRNA from 1 species